GGUUAUACAAAUAAUACAAAUAAAAAUUUUUAGUAUUAGUUAAAUGAUUAAAUUUAUAAUAUAAAUUUAAAUUUAUUAGGUGAAAUUUUUAAAUUUAUUUAUUUAUUAUUAUUAAAAAUAAUUUAAGCUAUAAACUUUUUAUAAUAAACUAGGAUUAGAUACCCUAUUAUUAAAAAUAAAUAUNNNNNNNNNNNNNNNNNNNNNGUUAUAUUCUUAAAAUUUAAAAAAUUUGGCGGUGUUUUAGUCUAUUUAGAGGAAUCUGUUCUGUAAUUGAUAAUUCACAUUGAACCUUACUUAAAUUUGUUUAAUUUGUAUAUCGCCGUCAUCAGAAUAUGUUAUAAGAUAAAAAUUUUCUAAAAAUUUAAUUUAAUAAAAUGUCAGGUCAAGGUGCAGUUUAUAUUUAAGUAGAAAUGGAUUACAAUAAUUUUAUUUAAAUGGAUAAUUUUUUGAAAUAAAGAUUUGAAGGUGGAUUUAAUAGUAAUAUAAAAGAGAUUAUUUAUAUGAUUUUAGCUCUAAAACAUGUACAUAUCGCCCAUCGUUCUUAUUUUUAAAAUAAGAUAAGUUGUAACAUAGUAGAUGUACUGGAAAGUGUAUCUAGAAAGA
rnacentral:rRNA from 1 species